AGCGGCGGCCGGGACUGCGCGGCCGCUAUUUUUAGCGGAGCCAAAUUCCUGCCGCCUUCCCCCUCCCUUUACUCCAGCCCAGCACCGGGGACAGCUGAAGGCAGAUCGGCUUACCGUGGCUAGCGUGCUCCCAGCCGUGCUCCUGCCCCCGGCGAAAGGUGGCUGUGCUGCCAGGAGGCAGGACAACACCACCUCUGCUGGCCCUCAGCCUGAGGGAAAGUACCAUCCCACUUCACACAAGUGGCUGCAUUUGAGGUGUGAUUAGGUAAAUCAGGAAAUGGACACAGAAGAAAACUGAACCCCAAGUCCACAAACAGAGGUCAUCCAGACUGCCAUGCAUCUGUCUGCAUCAUGAACAACUUCUGCUCUGUUUCUGGAACCAAGGAAUUGUCCUGAUAGAGUCAUGUUUGUUUCAGGGAGAUUCAGACUGCCCAAAGAAGUGAUUGAGUCACUAUCUGUGGAGAUCUUUAAAAGACACAUAGAUGUGCCUAGGGAUGUGGCCACCUUUUCAAGGUUAGGUUAAUGGUUAGACUUGAUGAUCUUAAAGGUCUUUUCCAACCUAAAUUACUCUGAUGGUAGAUGGACUUAGGAUGCUUUCAAUACAAGGUUGUUUUACCUGAGUCUUUAAUACUACAGAGACCUGCCAGGAAGAUAAAAAACCUGGACAUUAUCUUGGCUCUCUCUAGUAGAACUUGAGCCACCAGAACUAGACACUUGGAAGUGAAGGAGUGGGAAAGGAUUCUGAGGUUCAGCUGACCUAGUGCUGUCAGAAGUAACCAGUGAGCCCCAGAA